AUGAACCAGUCUGUCUGGUACAGAUAUAUGUGUGUAUGCAGCCGGAGCAGGAGCUCGGCGAGCAGGACGAGCCCGCGCUGCCCGCGGAAGACUUCGGCGAGCCGGUGGGACCAGCGCGACCAGCAGGGCCGCCACGUCCGCGACCAGCAUGUCCGCGACCAGCGCCUUAGAUCGUGUGCCACACCUUGCUGUUGCUCACCGGAGCAGCGCCGCCACUGGACCCGGGACAAGCCGCCGGAGGAGCAGGCCACCGGAACCGUUUCGCCGCUGCUGCCGGACCUGUGGCAGGCUGCCGGAGCUACAGCGCCGCCGCCACUGCACGCGUGGCAAGCCACUGGAGGAGCAGCGCCGCCGCCGCCACCAGGGCAGGCCGCCGGAGGAGCAGCUCCGCUGUCGCUGGACCGGGGGCAGCCCGCUGGAGCUGCAGCGCCGCCGCCACUGGAUCAGUGGCAGGCCACCAGAACCGUUUCACCGCUGCUGCCGGACCCGUGGCCGCCCGCUGGAGCUGCUGCGUUUCCAUCAAGGGGUUAGAGGUAGGCCACCUGAACUGUUUUACCGCCACUGCCUCACCCACAGCAUGUCCGGCUUGUUUUGCCAUCCUGCGGGUUGGCCGCCAGAACUGUGUUUGCUGCCACUGGACCGGGGAUUGGACUAUUGAACUGGGUUUUUCUUUUGUUGUUUUGUGGUGGCUGUUUAACGGAGAGGUUUAAACAGCCUGCUGUGCAAACAAUUCACUGUUUGCACAGCAGCAAUGACUCAGCUGAUAUGACUUCUUCAAAUACUAUCAUACAAAGUGAGAUGAAUUACAGUUAGAUCCAUAAGUUUUUGGACAAUGACACACUUUCACAAUUGUACUCUGUACAUCAACACAGUGGAAUCUGACUUAAACAAUUAGGAUGUGACUGAAGUGCAGACCUUCAAGGCCCACAAAACUCAGUGGUGGCAGAUUUAUUCUCUUAUGUAUUAAUCAUAUCACAUUAGUGAUAGUAAUAUCACUUUCUCAUUUAGGUAUAUACAUGUGCACUACAAAUAGGCCUUAUGCUCUAUCACACACACUGACACAGUGGGGACAUUGUAACGGGAGACAAACAGAUAGUGGGACUCCUCCUUAUCAGGGAUGCAAAUUCUUAGGUGACGUCUAAGCAGAAAACAAGGUCAUAAUUCUCUCUGUGAGGAGGGGGUCAAGGAUGAGCUGGACUGAUUCAGUAAGAGGACUAGAUGUUCCAGUCCCUGAUAAUGCAUUGCUUUAAAUGGAGAGAAUCUUGAGGGAUGGCUGUUUUGAGGAAAGGCAGCCCAGAAACUUUACCAGCAGCACACAUCGUUGUGUGCCUCAACUUUCGGUCUUUUAUUCAGGCUAAUCUGCCAUUUUUGGGGGGAUUAGAGAUCUGAUCUAGGUUAUGAUAUUAAGAUUUGGGACACAUCGUCAUUAGUGGACCUUGGAUUCAUCGGGUGUUUCGGCCAUUAUCACUAGACACCCUCAUCCAAGGAGGCCCUGCCAGGGUUGAUCAGGCCCCUGAGUGUGUCACUGGUUCAUGUUAAAUUGUUAUUUCUUCUUUCUUUUGUUCUGUUUCUUCUUCUCCCUGUGACUGAGAAAUAUUUAUGGAAAUAUUUAUAUUUAUGGAUAUUUAUGGAGCCUCACUUCUUCAAAGGGAUAGAAAAGGUGAUAGACAGAAGUAAGAUAAGAGGGACAAGAUAGGAG
ensembl:lncRNA